rnacentral:lncRNA from 1 species
UUUUUUUUUUUUUUUUUUUUUUUUUUAGUAGAGACGGGGUUUCACCAUGUUAGUCAGGAUGGUCUCUAUCUCCUGACCUCGCGAUCCGCCCGCUUCGGCCUCCCAAAGUGCUGGGAUUACAGGUGUGAGCCACUGUGCCCGGCUGAAAGCCUGAUAUAUCUUUCUACCAUAGCAAGAACUAGCAGCACCUUACCCAGUAUGAGACCGACCCAGGUCUGCCUUAAUAUAUAUACCGUAAUAUAUACCUAACAGUUUUUUUUUUUUUUUUGAGAGGGAGUCUCGCUCUGUCGCCCAGGCUGGAGUGCAGUAUCGCGAUAUCGGUUCGCUGCAAGCUCCGCCUCCCGGGGUCACGUCAUUCUCCUGCCUCAGCUUCCGGAGCAGCUGGGACUGCUGGCGCCCGCCACUACGCUCGGCUAAUUUUUUUGUGUUUUUAGUAGAGACGGGCUUUCACCGUGUUGGCCUAGCGGUUCUCCAACUCCUGACCUCAUGAUCCCCCCGCCUCAGCCUCCCAAAGUGCUGGGAUUACAAGCGUGAGCCACCGCGACCCGCCAACACUCUUGACAACAGUGCUGUGCUAAGAACUUGGGGGACUUCAAAAAGUUCACCAGUUCCUGUGUCCAUGGGUGAAAAGAUUUUCUACAUCUUUCCUUGACUAGAAACAGAAGUCCUGAAACAAGAAUAUAACGUCAGGAGGCCAGAGGCUUUGUCCUGCCUAAUGUGUUAUUUCCACACUGAAUAAAAGCACCUGAGUCCUGGUCUCAGAGUGAGAACAAUGUCUUCUAUGAUGAGUGGCAAACACAACAAGGCAUUUUAAAAAGGUUGUACAUCUAGCAAUACCUAACAAAAUAGGAAAUCAACUUGGAAAGCCAAUGGCUGUGUUUUGAGUUUAUGGAGAGCCAUAUGUGGCAAGGAACUGAGGGUGGCAUCCAGGCAACAGACUUCAAGAAACUGAGGCUGUCAGUCCAACAACCCACAAGAACUGAAUCUGACCAACAAUCACAGGAACAAACUUAGAAGUAUACUCUUUCCCAGACAAACCUUCAGAUGAGACCACAGCCCCAGCCAUAAGCUUGAAAACAAUCUCAUGAGGGACCUUGAGCCACAGGCAUGUAGUAAAGCUAUGCCAGGAAUCCUGCCUGCCCCACAGAAAAUGUAAAAAAAAUAAAUUUUUAUUGUUUUAAGCCACGAA